rnacentral:lncRNA from 1 species
GAGUUUAGGCUCUCCUACAAAGUGUUUGGCAAUGUGGUAGAGCAGAGUGGCACAAGCAUCCUUUCUGGUUUCAGAUUCAGAGGUUUCCAUAUCACUAACUGUUUUAACAGUAGUAAUAAUGGUAGUUGCGUUGAGGAUUUGAAGCUUAAGAUCUUCGGUGACAUAAUUAUCCCACCAAUACCUAAGCUUAUUUGAAAAUUUCAUGAAUCUUUUCCUCCCCAUGUUCUUUCUUUCUCCUCAAACCCACUCCACAUUGUUGUACCUUGCCGGAAUACUCUCAUGAGCAGGAAGAUUUUAAUGGUAAUAAAGUAAAUAGGAACCAACCAACAAAAGAAAAUCUCCUAUGCCCAUUUACCCCUCCCCUUUUAUCAUCCCUAAUGAAGAUUUGAAUGGUAUUAAUCAGAUUUAUAUUGGGAGGUGGUUGCAACUCUAAAUGGAAUACGAGUGUUCAUGUUCUUAAUUUUUGAGUUCAUCCGUCUAGUAGCGCCACAGUCCCGUGAUCCUAUUAAUUUCAUCUCAUUCCAAAACUAUCAUUAAAGCACCAUGUAAGGUUAUAGCCAACCGUCACAACCUAAAAUUGAGCCGCUGCCGAACUCCGCUACCAAAAUAUUAUAUUAGCAACAUCCUCAAACAAAUCGUAAUAGCCAAUAGCCCCAUUUUCUACCAGCGAAAAGCAUCAGUAAUGCAAUUUUCGGUAAAAUUCUAGGGAUGAAGAAAAUAAAGAAAAGAAAAAGAAUAAAAAUAGAAGAACUGAGGUUUGAAAAUUUAGAGUUUGGGCUUGAAAUAUUUUUGAAUUGAGGUUGUCUUCCUUUAAAUCAGAUCCGAGUUUUGAGAAAGUAGG